UACAGAGACCUCAAGCGUUAUCCGGAAUCAUUGGGCGUAAAGCGUACCGAUAGGUGGUUUACCAAGUCAGAAGUGAAAUCUUAAAGCUUAACUUUGAGACUGGUCUUUUGAAACUGGGUAGACUAGAGGGGGCAAAAGAGGAAGCUGGAACAAACGGUGUAGUAGUGAAAUGCGUUGAUAUCGUUUGGAACACCAAUAGCGUAGGCAAG
rnacentral:rRNA from 1 species